AUGCCACAGACUGGAGGAAACAUGGAGAAGUUACGGCUGGAAGUUUGUCCAUCAGGGGCUCCUGAUCUAAUGCACCUGAGAAGCUUUGGGGAUGGUGAGGCUUCACCUCAGCACUUUUAUUUCCAAGGAUGGGACUCGCUACCUACCACCCUCCUCCAUCUGACUAGUCCCUAUAGGAGUACCUCUUGGAAACCCCUUCCCCAACCCCAAAUUGCAAACUGAACAAUACAUAUUGCCUUGCCUCACACAGGAAAUGUGCAUCUCUGGAAUUAUCUUCUGGGUGUUUUCUUAAACUAAAUAUUAUCAGCACUUUGUGGAGCCCCCUCCCUUACUAAAGGCCUUCCUCAGACUCUUGGAAGAGAAGCCAUUCCUAUCAUUCUCGCUAUUCCCACUUGUGACUGGUAGAAUAAUCAUCCCCCACGAUGUCCACAUCUGUAAUCCCAGAAGCUCAAGCCCUGAUGUGUAUGGGGUCUGAAACAAAAAGGAUAUGAAGUCUGUGGUUUAAACUGCCGUAGCUUUCAGCCUCAAAAUCACAGGUCAUUAAUUCAUUCAUUUAUAAAAGACAUAUUAAAUGCCUAUGAUGACCCAGGGCUGAUAUGAGGCCCUGGGUAGUAUCUCCAAUUGAGAACCAUCUAGGAUAGGGGUGUCCAAUCUUUUGCUUCCCUGGGCCACAUUGGAAGAAGAAAAAUUGCCUUGGGCCACAUAUAAAAUACACUAACAAUAGCUGAUGAGCUAAAAAAAAAAAAUGCAAAAAACCUCAUAGUGUUCUAAGAAAGUUUCCAAAUUUGUGUUGGGCCGCAUUCAAAGCCAUCCUGGGCCGAAUGUGGCUGGUGGGCUGUGGGUUGGACAAGCUUGAUCUAAGAUGAUGCAGGAAUCAACUAGAAUUUGGAGGAGAAGAGUGUCUGGUCUUGAGGACUAGAGACUGGCAGGAUCAGUCAGCUGGGCUGAGGUUCAAGGCCGGGCUCCAACCUCAAAAGGCCACUUGGACCUUUUUCAAGGUGGAUUGAAGAUGAGGCUGCCUACAGAAAGGUUAAGAAAGGUUCAGAGAAGUGUGCAAUUUCCUCCCCUUCUCCAUCUGCUGCCCCCUGCCCACUGUACCUGCAGGCAUAGAAGCCCAGCCCUCAUCCACAAAUGGGAAGAACACUCUCAAUAGGCUUGCUUUUGAAGGCUUGGAACCUAUUCUAAAAUCUACUGCUGCAUAAUAAACCACCCCAAAUCCAUGGUGUAAAAUAGUAGCCAUUUGAUCACAACGCUUAGAUUGUGUGCAUCAGGAAUUCGGCCAAGGCACGAGAGGGACAGUGCUCCACCUGAUCCCAUACCUUGGCAGGAUUCAAAUGGCUGACGGCUGGAAUUGUUCAGUGACUCUUUUCUUUAUAUGUCUGGUGACUGGGCUGGGCUAACCAAAGGCUGGGCUCAGCUGCGACUAGAGCAUCUACCUAUGGCCUCUCCAUGUCACGUGGGCUUAUCACAGCAUAGGGGCUGAGAUUCAAAAGUGAAAAUCCUGAGAAAGUAACUCUGGAGAGCAGGGUUUCUGAGGAGCAGGAAGCUGCUGGCCCUUACUGAGCUGGUGAAGUGAGCGAGCAGGUCUGUGAGCCAUGGAGGGUUUAUGGAAGGACAGAGAACACACACCCUCUGUCCUCCAAAAUAUGGCCUUUGGGGUCACUCCAGAGUGUCCCUAGGUGACCAUAGCUGGCCCAGGAGAGGUUCAUAGCUAUGGCCACCAAACUGAAUGCCCACUAGAGAACGCCGUCAGAGGAGGACUGGAAACGGCGCUAGUCUUCGCCGCAGCAGGGAUUCUUGUGUCAGGUCUCAAUCAUCCGUGUGCUCAGCUCCAUUUACCAUCUCCUGUUCCUCUACUCCUUAUUCCCCAUGCCCUGCCCGCCUCUAAGUUAAGUCCUGCAGACUUCACCUGUUUACCUCUGUGCAGGGCUCUGAGUCCCGCAAGCCCUGUUUGAGGCUUAGUUCUCUCCCUGGAGCAGCCCCAUGUAUUUCUGUAGUCUGGGUGUCCGGCCAAAGCCUGUGGCUCUAACACCCUGCACCUGGCCCUGG
ensembl:lncRNA